rnacentral:misc_RNA from 2 species
AACGCACAUUGCACCCGGUGGUAUUCCGCCGGGUAUGCCUGUUCGAGCGUCUGUAGAACAACACCAAGACCAAGCUUAGGCUUGAUUUUGAGGUUGCGGCUUCGGCUGCAGCCUUUAAGAGAGGUGGCGGCGUCCGAUGGACUCUAAGCGUAGUAAUUUCUCCUCGCUACAGAGUCUGCCGGCGCAUUUGGUACUCACUCCAAGCCAACCAAACCCCCCCAAUUUUAGUUUGACCUCGGAUCAAGUAGGGAUACCCGCUGAACUUAA